rnacentral:misc_RNA from 1 species
UACGAAGGUGGCAAGCGUUACUCGGAAUGACUAGGCGUAAAGGGCAGGUAGGUGGUUCGGUAAGUCUGCUGUGGAAGCUCCCGGCUUAACUGGGAGAGGUCAGCAGAUACUGUCGGACUUGAGUAUGGGAGAGGGUACUGGAAUUCCCGGUGUAGCGGUGAAAUGCGCAGAGAUCGGGAGGAACACCAAUGGCGAAAGCAAGUACCUGGACCAUUACUGACACUCAGCUGCGAAAGCUAGGGGAGCAAACAGG